rnacentral:misc_RNA from 1 species
UGUUCCAGAGAUGUCCAAGGUU